rnacentral:rRNA from 1 species
AAACUGGUAGAGUGUAUGAGAGACUGUAUGACUAGAGAGAAAUAGAGGGAAGCGGAAUUCCGGGUGUAGUGGUGAAAUGCGUAGAUAUCCGGAGGAAUACCGGUGGCGAAGGCGGCUUCCUGGAUUUCAGCUGACGCUGAGGCGCGAAAGCGUGGGUAGCGAACGGGAUUAGAAACCCCGGUAGUCCACGCUGUAAACGAUGUACAUUAGGCGUUCGGUUGCCGUUAGGUGAUUGAGUGUCGAAGCAAACGCGAUAAAUGUACCGCCUGGGGAGUACGGUCGCAAGGCUAAAACUCAAAGGAAUUGACGGGGGCCCGCACAAGCAGCGGAGCGUGUGGUUUAAUUCGAGGCUACGCGAAGAACCUUACCUGGGUUUGACAUGUUGGUAGUACGGAAGCGAAAGCGGAAGGAACCUUCGGGUAGCCAUCACAGGUGCUGCAUGGUUGUCGUCAGCUCGUGCCGUGAGGUGUUCGGUUAAGUCCGCAAACGAGCGCAACCCUCGGAGCUAGUUACAAGUGUCUAGCUUGACUGCCCGUGACAAACGGGAGGAAGGUGGGGAUGACGUCAAAUCAGCAUGGCCUUUAUAUCCAGGGCGACACACACGCUACAAUGGUCGAUACAAUGGGUAGCGAAGGCGCGAGUUGGAGCGAAUCCUAAAAAGUCGAUCUCAGUUCGGAUUGCAGGCUGCAACUCGCCUGCAUGAAGUCGGAGUUGCUAGUAACCGCGAAUCAGCACGUUGCGGUGAAUACGUUCCCGGGCCUUGUACACACCGCCCGUCACGUCAUGGGAGUUGGUCGAGCCUGAAGUCGGGAAGCUAACCUACGGGGGGCUACUGCCUAGGGCAGGAUUGAUGACUGGACGAAGUC